rnacentral:rRNA from 1 species
UAGUCCACGCCGUAAACGAUGUGUGCUAGUUGUCGGGCAGUUUACUGUUCGGUGACGCAGCUAACGCAUUAAGCACACCGCCUGGGGAGUACGGUCGCAAGAUUAAAACUCAAAGGAAUUGACGGGGACCCGCACAAGCGGUGGAGCAUGUUGUUUAAUUCGAAGCAACGCGAAGAACCUUACCUACCCUUGACAUACUCGUCGGGAAUUGCAGAGAUGCUUUUCUUCGGUUCGGCCGGACGAGAUACAGGUGCUGCAUGGCUGUCGUCAGCUCGUGUCGUGAGAUGUUGGGUUAAGUCCCGCAACGAGCGCAACCCUUAUCGUAUGUUGCCAGCAGUUUGGCUGGGCACUCAUGCGAGACUGCCGGUGUUAAGCCGGAGGAAGGUGGGGACGACGUCAAGUCAUCAUGGCCCUUAGGGGUAGGGGCUACAAACGUGCUACAAUGGGUACUACGAGUGGGCAGCUAGGUCGCGAGGCCGUGCUAAUCU